rnacentral:rRNA from 1 species
GUGGGGAAUAUUGGACAAUGGGCACAAGCCUGAUCCAGCCAUGCCGCGUGAGUGAUGAAGGCCUUAGGGUUGUAAAGCUCUUUUGUCCGGGAAGAUAAUGACUGUACCGGAAGAAUAAGCCCCGGCUAACUUCGUGCCAGCAGCCGCGGUAAUACGAAGGGGGCUAGCGUUGUUCGGAAUCACUGGGCGUAAAGCGCACGUAGGCGGACCAUUAAGUCAGGGGUGAAAGCCUGGAGCUCAACGCCAGAACUGCCUUUGAUACUGAUGGUCUCGAGUAUGGAAGAGGUUGGUGGAACUGCGAGUGUAGAGGUGAAAUUCGUAGAUAUUCGCAAGAACACCGGUGGCGAAGGCGGCCAACUGGUCCAUUACUGACGCUGAGGUGCGAAAGCGUGGGGAGCAAACAGGAUUAGAUACCCUUGUAGUCC